rnacentral:lncRNA from 1 species
GGCCAGGGAUCAAACCUGCGUCCUCAUGGAUACUAGUCAGAUUUGUUUCCACUGAGCCACGAUGGAACUCCCAAGAUAAUUAUUAAAACAGCUUCUUCUCACUUUCAAAAGCAGCCCAGUCUGUAUAACAAAUUAUGAGGUCACCCUAAUAUGUCUGUCUCCCUUGACCAGAAUGGAGCAUUAUGAUUACAGGAACAAUAAUUAAUUUAUUUAUCUUCAGUGGUGAUACAGAAAAGGUAAUCAAAUACUUUAGUAAUAAUUAUACACACAAACAACUAAAAGAAAUUUAUUAAAGGCUUAUUUUACUGAUCCCUUUGACAUUCCUAAGAUCUUCAUUAAUCAUUCAGUGAAUACAAAAAUUAAAAUAGAUGGGAGUUCCUGUUGUGGCUCAGUAUAACAAACCCCUCUAAUAUCCAUGAGGAUGCAGGUUCCAUCCCUGGCUUCACUCAGUGGGUUAAAGACCUGUCUUUGCCACAAGCUGUAGGAUGAAGAUGAGGCUCAGAUCCUACGUUGCUAUGGCUUGGUACAGGCUGGCAGCUGCAACUCUUCCAAUUCGACCCCUAGCCUGGGAACCUCCAUAUGCUGUGGGUGCAGCCCUAAAAAAGGCAAAAAAAAAAACAGAAAUAAAAAGAAAAGCUACUGUGAAUACCUCCAUCCAAAAGACAAUUUUAUACUAACAACAAAACUAAAAUAUUACUAUAAUAAAAUAUCCGUACAAUCUUUUAGGUCUGAUUAUAUGGCAGAAAACAGAAUGGAAUAACAUCUUAAAAUUGCUGAGGAGGGAGUUCACUUGUGGUGCAGCAGGUUAAGGAUUUGGCAUUGUCACUGCAGUGGCUCAGAUCACUGCUGUGGCAUGGGUUCAGUCCCUGGCCUGUGAACCUCCACAUGCCACAGGUGUGGCCAAAGGAAAAAAAAAAAAAAAAAAACAAUGCUUAGAGGGAAGUAAGUGCUAAUCCAGAUUUUCAUUCACAACUAAAACAUCAAUCAAGAACAAGAGCUAGGAGUUCCUGCUCUGGUGCAGCGGGUUAAGAAUCCAUCUGCAGCAGUUCAGUUUGCUAAAAAGGCAUGGGUUCAAUCUUUGGCCUGGCACAGUGGGUUAAAGAAUCCAGCAUUGCUGCAGCUGUGGUGUGGGUCACAGCUGCAGCCUGAAUUCAGUCUCUGGCCUGGGAACUUCCAUAUGCUACAAGUGCAGCCAUUUAAAAAAAAAAAAAAAGGGCUAAAUAUUUUCAACAAACAAAAAUCCUAAUUUACCACCAUCAGACCUUUAGUCAAGGAACUUCUGAAGGAUAUACUUCAUGAAGAAGGAACGUGAUUUCAGAACAAAAGCUAACAAGAAAUUGGUAAACGUGGUGAAGUUAAAUAAAUACGAAUUGUAUAAAAAGAAUAAAAUGCUUAAUAAUGUCCUGAAAAGAACAAGGUAGAAUUAUAAUACUGAACGACUAUAACAAAAGGAGUGAUUCAUCCAUAGUGGCCUUCUUCUGGAAACUUGUCUCUUCUACCACCACACCUCCAACCACCCACUUGAUUACUAACUGUUAUCAAAUUAGCUCAGUUGUUGUCCCACACCAUAAAUGAUAGUCCAGAGGUGGGCAACCAGUCCAAGCAGGAACAAACACAAUCUUUAGAAACUACAAAUAGAUUACAAAAGCAAAGAGCAGGAGUCAACAGGUAUACAGUUGUGUUCAUGAAGCACCACAUGCCUUGUUGAUGCCUCCUACUAUUGUCUGAAAUGCUUCCUUCCGCUUUUCUACUUGUCUAAACCAUCUUUGAAGGACCCAGCUUAAGCCUUCCCAUCCCCCUCACCUGGCCAUCCUUCCUUCUAUAAAUGAAACGAAGUGGAAAAUAAUUAACCUCUGUGGACUCUCAGUGUACCAGGAAUUUCACAUACACUACCACUUAACCUUAACUACACUGGAAUGACAGCACUUGCGGUCUCUACACUCAGCACAGCAGUUAUUUUCUUAAAGGAUACUGCCCUACUUAACAGCUUCCUAAACAUUCUAUAUGUUUACAUGUGUUCUCUGUCACCAGAAUAUAACAUUCUCAAAUAUAAGAACUAUGUCUUCCAUGUCAUUCUUACUCCCAUUCAUCUUCUCUACUCCUCCCCUCUCAUUUCGAAAUAUUUCUCAAUCCCUUCUAUCACUACCACAACUACUACUAUUAAUAGAAAAUACUCUUUAUAAUAGUUUGCAUUGUGCUGACACUCUGCUAAAUGCUUUGCAAACACUUCCCUUAAUCCUUACAAUAAUCACAUAAAGUAAAGAUUAUCUCCCAUUUCACAGAGGAAGAAAAAGGCUCGUAGAAUGUAAAGAACUUGCUCUCUCACAGUAAAAUGAACCUAGAUCUAUAAAAUACCACUGUGGACUCCCACACUAUCACAUCCCCACUUGGUUCCCCACUCCCACUCUCACCUGCUUUGGCAGCUAGGUUAAGCGCAGCUGGGCUAAGCUCAAACUACAAUUCCCAGAAUCCUCUUCCCAUAUGAUUUCAGGUUAGAGUUAGUCAAACUGAAGAUGCCAGAGGAUUUCACCAUGUCUCUGCUCUCCCCCAUACUGUGUGUAGCUCUUCUUCCUGAUUGCCAACCCUGCCAACCAAACAGCAACCUCAGGUCUACCACCAAAAGCUCGAAUGAAGACCACAGAAGAGGUAGCAGCUUUCCAUACACUUUCCACCAGCUCUACUGCGUGGUCCCACUCCAGCAGCUGGGCAUAACUGGUUCCUCAGAUUCACCCGCUCCUCAGAGGCAAUUCACCUUCUCUGACUUGCCUACUACACCCCAGCUUCAGGGAGGCUGAUUAGGGACUUCUCUGAUCUCCCAACUGCCCCUUACAGACUCUGAUUUCUGAGUUUCCCCCACAACUCUGUAAGGCCUUCCUCCUUUCAUAAACGCUUAAUUCCAUAACACCGUAGCAGUUCCGCUUCUGUGACUAAACUCUAACGAAUGCAACUACCCAAGCCUCCCCCCCCCGUCUACUGACGAAGAAAUCUCUGCAACUUUCCCUUCUCAGAUCUUCCUGCACAACCAAAUCUAGACCACUCAGUCCUUUCAUUACCUCCAACCAAGCCUUCUUUUAUCAGUUCUGAGCUGCCCAUCUUUGGAAACAAGCUGAAGUGUCCUUCAUUCUAUAAAGAAGCCAUAUCUCCCAAUUGAUCUUCCCAUUUGCAAAAGAGCAAGAUUUAAAUGAGAGAAAACACUAGAGUGGGUAUCAGAUUAACAAAUGCUAACACUAAUUUAACUAAGAACAAAAUAAGCUAAGAACAUUUAAGUAUUUCUGUGCUUUGGUUACAGAUGUGAAAAUGGAGAAAGAAAGAAUAAGAAUACAGAAAGAUUCUGAGAAAAGAUUUUGCUGAUGCAUGGUUUGUCCUAAAUGUUUUUUCCAUUGGGAAGUGGGAAGCUUCAUUUUUUUUUCUUAUCCAAAUAUAUCUAUAAAUUAUUUUUAAAUUUCUAGUGGGCAUAAAAAACUGCAUGUACAAUUUUUCCAAUACUAUUUUUUUUUCUUUUUCAAAAAAGAUCUUUCGCACCUUUUUGGCUAAAGUAGUUUCAAAAAUGAAUUUCACUGGUCUUGGUUCCCCAUUCAUAAUAUAAUAAUUUAGUUCUUCUCUGUUAUUUUCUAGCAGUUAAUGCUUACCAUUCUAGAUUUUGUCACUAAACUGUCCCAUGGGUGAGUCUGAUUUCUAUCACAUAUGUCCUGAAUUUACUCAUUAACUCUUUCUUUCUUCCUUCCUCCCUUUCUUUCUUAUCUUUUAGGGCCACACCCUUGGCAUAUGGAGGUUCCCAGGCUAGGGGCUGAAUCGGAGCUGUAGUUGCCAGCCUACACCACAGCCACGACAAUGACAGAUCCAAGCCGCAUCUGCGACCUACACCACAGCUCACGGCAACAUCGGAUAUUUAACCCACUGAGCGAGGCCAGGGAUCAAAGCUGCAUCCUCAUGGUCACUAGUAAGAUUCAUUUCCGCUGAGCCAUGACAGGAACUCCUUACUCAUUAAGUCUUUCAAUAAGUAUUUACCGAAAUCAAGCGCAGUUCAACACAAGAUAUCUGGCUAUAAAAUAUCUUUAAGUAGAAGAUCUCACUCUAAUAAAUUAAUCACAUUUAAAAAGAGCUAUUUAUCUUCCAAAAUGCUGCCCUAUAACAAAUCUUCCCUGGACUGUUGUUAUCUUAACAACCUUCGAAUCAAGAAAACUUAAAUCUCUUUUGACUCUUCAUUAUUUUCUAUUAUGUGGUGGGUUUCACAGAAUCACACAGCGGAUGUCCUUAAGAAAUUAACUAGGUUAGGGCAACUUACCAAAUUCAAAAAUGUUGAAGUCACUUUAUCACCGUCUAUUUCUAAUGAAUGGCAUAUUUAAGUCUGAACUCAGCUUCCUAGUUACCACCAGUGUUCAACAAACAGUAUGGAAUACAUUUUGGAGUUUGUGGUGCUCACUUAAGGAACAGUCUUAACAAACUCCUUAGGUACAUCCCUAAAUAAACUCUAACCCUAACUAAUCUACUCUUUCUCAAAUCAGAGAGCAAGAUUUAUGCAAGAUUUAUGUUUGGAGGUGAAAUCAACAGAAUG